rnacentral:rRNA from 1 species
CCUACGGGAGGCAGCAGUGAGGAAUAUUGGUCAAUGGGCGGGAGCCUGAACCAGCCAAGUCGCGUGAGGGAAGACGGUCCUAUGGAUUGCAAACCUCUUUAGGCGGGGAGCAAUGCCGGGCACGUGUGCCCGGAGGGAGAGUACCCGCAGAAUCAGCAUCGGCUAACUCCGUGCCAGCAGCCGCGGUAAUACGGAGGGUGCAAGCGUUGUCCGGAUUCAUUGGGCGUAAAGGGUUCGUAGGUGGCAUAUUAAGUCUGGUGUUAAAUGCAGAAGCUCAACUUCUGUUCGGAACUGGAUACUGUUAAGCUGGAAUGCGGUAGAGGUAAAGGGAAUUCCUGGUGUAGCGGUGAAAUGCGUAGAUAUCAGGAGGAACAUCGGUGGCGUAAGCGCUUUACUGGGCCGUAAUUGACACUGAGGAACGAAAGCCGGGGUAGCAAAUGGGAUUAGAUACCCGAGUAGUC